GGCGCCAUGGCUUAGUUGGAAAAGCGCCUGUCUAGUAAACAGGAGAUCCUGGGUUUAAAUGCCAUUGGUGCCU
rnacentral:tRNA from 1 species